rnacentral:rRNA from 1 species
CCUACGGGCGGCAGCAGUGCGGAAUAUUGGUCAAUGGACGAGAGUCUGAACCAGCCAAGUAGCGUGAAGGAUGACUGCCCUCUGGGUUGUAAACUUCUUUUAUAUGGGAAUAAAAUGUUCCACGUGUGUGAUUUUGUAUGUACCAUAUGAAUAAUGAUCGGCUAACUCCGUUCCAGCAGCCGCGGUAAUACGGAGGAUCCGAGCGUUAGCCGGAUUUAUUGGGUUUAAAGGGAGCGUAGGUGGAUUGGUAAGUCAGUUGUGAAAGUUUGCGGAUCAACCGUAAAAUUGCAGUUGAAACUGGCAGUCUUGAGUACAGUAGAGGUGGGCGGAAGUCGUGGGGUAGCGGUGAAAUGCUUAGAUAUCACGAAGAACUCCGAUUGCGAAGGCAGCUCACUGGACUGCAACUGACACUGAGGCUCGAAAGUGUGGGGAUCAAACAGGAUUAGAUACCCGGGUAGUC